rnacentral:rRNA from 1 species
GACGAACGCUGGCGGCGCGCCUAACACAUGCAAGUCGAACGAGCGAGAGAGAGCUUGCUUUCUCGAGCGAGUGGCGAACGGGUGAGUAACGCGUGAGGAACCUGCCUCAAAGAGGGGGACAACAGUUGGAAACGACUGCUAAUACCGCAUAAGCCCACGACCCGGCAUCGGGUAGAGGGAAAAGGAGCAAUCCGCUUUGAGAUGGCCUCGCGUCCGAUUAGCUAGUUGGUGAGGUAACGGCCCACCAAGGCGACGAUCGGUAGCCAGACUGAGAGGUUGAACGGCCACAUUGGGACUGAGACACGGCCCAGACUCCUACGGGAGGCAGCAGUGGGGAAUAUUGCACAAUGGGGGAAACCCUGAUGCAGCGACGCCGCGUGGAGGAAGAAGGUCUUCGGAUUGUAAACUCCUGUUGUUGAGGAAGAUAAUGACGGUACUCAACAAGGAAGUGACGGCUAACUACGUG